rnacentral:rRNA from 1 species
AUUGAACGCUGGCGGCAUGCCUUACACAUGCAAGUCGAACGGCAGCAUGGAGAGCUUGCUCUCUGAUGGCGAGUGGCGAACGGGUGAGUAAUGCAUCGGAACGUACCGUGUAAUGGGGGAUAACGUAGCGAAAGUUACGCUAAUACCGCAUACGACCUGAGGGUGAAAGCAGGGGAUCGCAAGACCUUGCGUUAUACGAGCGGCCGAUGUCAGAUUAGCUAGUUGGUGAGGUAAAGGCUCACCGAGGCGACGAUCUGUAGCGGGUCUGAGAGGAUGAUCCGCCACACUGGGACUGAGACACGGCCCAGACUCCUACGGGAGGCAGCAGUGGGGAAUUUUGGACAAUGGGGGCAACCCUGAUCCAGCCAUGCCGCGCGAGUGAAGAAGGCCUUCGGGUUGUAAAGCUCUUUCGGCCGGGAAGAAAUCGCACAGGCUAAUACUCUGUGUGGAUGACGGUACCGGCAUAAGAAGCACCGGCUAACUACGUGCCAGCCGCCGCGGUAA